rnacentral:lncRNA from 1 species
GAAAGACAACUCAAGCUCAUCGCCUAUUUGAUCUAAGCAAUCUGUUGUCCAUAAAUUAUUGGUUUCACAGUCACCAUAUUUAUCCUCCAAGGAAAUUGGAUAUAAGUGACCACGCGGAAAAUAACGAAGAAAAAGGUGAUCUUUCAUUAUGGGCUUGUCAAAGGAUUGAGAUGCCCACUGGUUUCUCCAAUAAAUUCGUCGACAAUUUCUACCUCGAAAAAUAGAUCCUUUACAUCCGAUAACCUCGUUAUGCCUUGAAGCAUCAUUAUUGACAAAAAUGCAGCAACAAGCAACUCCAAUCCAUUGACUAUCUUUCCGAAGGUUGAUAGGUAGGGGUAUCUUAAUUGAAAAGUCACUUUUUUGUUGGCUAAACCAUUCUGGAAUUUCACUUCUGGGCAUCAUAAUAUCAAAGAAGCCAUUAGCAAACCAUUUUCUAGAAUUUGGAAGUGCCUGCAAAAUAAAACACAAGUCGUCUGGUAACUAAAACCUUAAAUUCUCAAGUAUGAGAUUUUGUAAGGGAGAAAAAAUAGAUUAAGACCUUAAUAUGUUCUUUCAACAGUGUUAAUGCAUUGAUUUUCUCAGCCAAUUUGAAGCAGUUAAUGGCAAGAAUGUCACAACCCACUAAAUUGCAUACUUUUGAUGGACUUGCAACUACUUCAAGUGAAGAACAACCAUAUAGCUUCACUCGUUUAUUUGUUGAUAGCGCAGGCAGCAAUUUAAGCAUCUUGCAAUCUGACAAUACAAGCAAUUGCAGCCCGGAAUGUUGAGUAAGAGCCAAAGGAAUGCUGAUGAAAUUGUUACCACUAAGAUAAAGAUAACUCAAAGAGGAUAGACCAGAAAAAUCACUAUGAGUAUCUGCUUCACCAAGAGUGCACAUGUUGCAAUUUGACAAUUCAAGAGACAUAAGCUUUGAGAGUCGAGUAAGAGAUGCAGGUAUGCUGAUGAAAUUGUUACCACUAAGAUCAAGACUUCUCAAAGAGGAUAGACCAGACAUAUCAGGUGGAAUAUCUCCUUCACAAAGAUUGCAGUCCCUUAGUUUUAGCUUUCUUAAAGAACUCAAACCUGACAACAAAGGCAACAUCCGAGCCAUGGGAUUCGUCCUUCUUCCUUGGAUUACCUUGAAAAGAGAAGGCAAAUUUGGUAGUAACUUAUAUGUUGGUCCCUUGCGCCCAUUGAAAGACAGAACUUUAAGAUUUUUAAAUUGAAAAAUGAACGAUGGUGGUUCUGUUAUGGCUGUUUCACUCAAGUCAAGAUCUUCCAAAAACUUUGCUUGCUGCAAAUUCUCCGAUAAAUUUUCCACUCUAUAACAACCGGAAAGAUCUAGUGUUUUUAGACGUUCCAUUUUCCCAUCAAUCUCUGGAAACCUUACAAGACUUGAGCAACCCGAAAGAAUUAAUGUUUCAAGGGAUUCCAUUCCAAUUUUGGUUGGAAGAGUCCUAAGACUUUUGCAAUCUUUUAAAUUCAAAAGUUUAAGGCUCUUAAGCACCCCGAUUGAUGGAUGAACAUCCACUAAUUUGGUACAACCUUUCAAAAUCAAAACUUCAAGAUUUGAUGCGGUUGUGAAGUCUGGUGUCUUGAUCAGGUUUUGAGACCCUCUGAGGUUCAUUAUUUUCAAGUUAAACAAGGGCUGUUGAAGACCAUAAUAAAUUAGAAACAAAUGAGAAAACAUAAUAAUGCUCUUUUUUGUUUUUUUUUUUUGUUUUACCUUAAUCAAAGUUUAAUAAUUUAUAUUAAAAUAAGCUAAAACACAAGGAUAAGAUGAGUUAAUUCUUACUCUAUUUCCCUUCCAUAGUUGUUGAAUGUGACUAUAUGGUAAAAGAAGUGCGACAAGGUUGUCCGGUUGAAAGCUUGAAGGCAAGUAUCUUAGAGGGUAUCCUAUCCAAUCUAAAAGUCAUAAUUCAUUAGAAAGAUAUUUGAGAUCAUCACAAUUUGAAAGGCAAAGCACUUUGAGCAAUCUCAGUUUUUUCAUCUUCAAGAAGGUAUUCACACUCAAAUUGAGCAUCUUGUUCGAUUCCCUAAUAUCCAUGAGCGAAACAAAAAUGAGCUUCAAAAUAUACAAAAACAUUUAAUAUCUAAAAGAAAUGUUGCAUCAAUAUGUUUUUUAAGUACUCGUAUCCAAUACUUAUAUCAAAUACAUACAUUUCUCUUUUGAUUCUUUUGUAAAAGUAAAUAUGUUGCUAGAUAAAUUUCAUAAUUAAACAUUGAAAUAUUGAAUGUCAAUAGUUUUGCUAUAGUUUUUUUAUCAUAUUUAAAAAUAAUAAUUAUUUACAGUACACAUAGAUAUAAAUUUAUGUGUCUUCUUACCUUUUAUUAUUGAUGAUUAUGCCUUCAAUCAUUUCUGUAGCCUAAAAAAAAUCAACAACAGGCAAUAAGAAAAUAAAAUAAAUGGUGAAUAAUGUAGGAUAGAAAAGAAAUAGUAUGUAACUUUUGUUGAAUGACUUACAGUGUUUUUUGUUAGGACAUGAUGGACGCCCCUUUCCUCCCACAAUCUGCAACGUUUUCCAGGUUCAUCAACACAUUUUUCUUUAACAAUUUUUCUUCCCAUUUCUUGCAACAAGUCAUGCAUCUUCAAAUAUUUGUUGUGUUCAUCGACUUUUAGGAGAGAUUUUUUAACGAGAACAUCAAUUCCAAUAUCAGAAAAAAAUUCACAACCAUUCAAUACUUUGAUUACAAAAUCUUUCUUCUCCCCAUUGAAGAAGCAUGCUAUAUCUAAAAAUAUAUUCUUCUCCCUUUCUUCCAGUCCAUCAAAACUGAUUCGAAGUUUACCGAGAAUUUCUUUAUUAGAAUCUCUUUCAAGUCUUGCAAUCGCACUUCUCCAUUGAGUCGCAUCUCUACCGCACAAAAAGGAACCAAAAACUUCAAGAGCUAAAGGGAGUCCACCAGCAUAAUUUACAACAUGUUUAGAAAGCUCAAUGAAAUCAUCUUUCUGCACUGUAUCACUAUGAAAAGCUUUCAGACUGAAAAGUUGAAGCGCAUCUUUGGGAUUCAGUGUUGUGGGCAUAUACACAUCAUUAACUUGGCAACAUCGAAGCAAAUGUUCGUCUCUUGUUGUUACAACGAUUCUACUUCUUAAUCCGAACCAAUCUUGCUUUCCAACCAAGCAUUUUAAGUGUUGUAUGUUAUCAACAUUAUCAAGAACAACAAGAACCUUUUUGUGAGACAACCUAUGGCUAAUUAUGUCACUCCCUUCAUGAACAUCGAAAAAGUUGAAGCAUUCACCAUGAAAGAUCUGUGAAAGAAGUUGUUUCUAUAAAGAAACUAGUCCGCAUUUGUCUGAAACUUCUCGAAUAUUGGCAAUAAAGCUUUUACCUUCAAAAUAAGGUGACAUUUGAGUGUAAGCAACUCUUGCGAGUGUCGUUUUACCGAUGCCACCCAUUCCGCAAAUUCCUAUAACGCGGACAUCAUCUUCCCCCAUGUUUAUUUUCAAAUACAAAUCCUCCAAGCGUUCACUAAUACCAACCAAGCCGCUAUGAGUAACUGGAUACGUCUGACAUAGUUUUGCUGAUAUCUUCUUAACAAUGUCUCUAAUAAAUUCUGAUUCAUGCCUAAAAAAAUGAAAUUUUAAUGUUUGGAGUAAAAUUUUGUUGAUAUGUUUGGAAUGCACUUUUUUUUUCAAUGAAUCAUGAAACAUAAUAUAGUUUGGAAGCAAACAAGAACCAAGAAUAAGAAAGCAAGAUCUGUUAUUUAAAUAUGACACUUUUCAAUUAAACACAUAGGAUUGGGAAAAAAAAAAGUUAUACAUACAUACAUAUAUAUAUCCAAAAAACUAGAAAAUAGAGAAGAAAAGAAAGAAUUACCUGUUAUUUAAAUGCCAUCCCUUGAUUGCAGCUACUUGAAUUAAAGCAUUUCGCCACCUUUGGAUCUUCUCACUUUCUUCUUUGUAUCUCUCUUCAUGUCUGGUAAAGGCUUCUUCCACUUUCCCUUUUUGUUUUCUUAAAUCAGAUGGAUCAACAUCGUAAAAAAUUGGAAACACUUUAUGGCCGUCGUUGAUAUGUUGUUGAACAAUCUCAGCAAGCUCCUCCAAGCACCAACUUGAAAAGGCAUAAGUUUGUGAAAAAACGAUUACCGAGCACCAUGAUUGCUGAAUUGCUUUAAAGAGUUCUCGCGCGAUCUCUUCACCGGCCUCCAGCUUUGGAUCAUCCCUGAAAGUGACGAUCCCACUCCUCUUUAGAGCAGCAUAGAGAUGAUCGGUGAAGUUUUUGCGAGUAUCUUCACCUCUAAAACUCAAGAAAACAUCAUAUUUCUUUCUAGAAAUGUAUGAGGAAGUUGAAGGUAAUGACAACAUGACGAUGUUUGAGAAGAAAAAUAUAUGUGGAUGUAGUGUUCAAAAUCAGAAAAUUGAUCGCUCAAUACGCCAGAAAGAAACUAGAAACAGUAAGUAUAUGAGAGUGAAGAUUGAGAAAAACAGAUGAAAAUUCCAGGGAAGAAUAAAGGACUUUUCUAAGCAAUUUCUCUAUAACCUUUGAAUUUUCGAAAUGAAUACGAGUAGGUGUUGACAUUGGGUGAUGCAUGUUCUUUCGAGGAAGAAUCCAAGAAGGUGGGUGUUGACAAAAUGGAGCCUACAGUAAUUUUAAGUAAUAAGUAAAGUGUUGGACGGUUUGUGUUUUACUUUCAUUGACAUAAUCAUAUAAUUGUCUAUAUAACUAUAUAUUAAAGGAGUAUUUGGAGACACCUGUCCAGGGAGGACAAUGUGUUAUUUAAAAUUCGGUCCCUCACAUUUUGCCUUUUAUAUGAUUAAGUUCUAUUUGAAGCAUUUAAAAUGUUCAUUAGGUGCAGACUAAAAUAACUUAUAUUUACUCACUAUCAUAAAAUUUUAUGUACGAAUACAAUUUAUUAAUUUAAUGUAGAUGAUUUUUUUUCUUUUACAUUAUAAGAAAAUGUUAGAAUUUCAAUUCUAGUUUUUUUAUUAUGCCUAAAUUUAAGAUUUAAUUUCUAGCCUAAUUUAAUCAUAUAUUUUUAUAAUGUUAUUAGUUAGACAUAUAAUUAAUAUUGUUGACUUUUCUAUUAGUUAUAGCAUCAUAAAGAUGAUCCGUGAAGUUGUUGCGAGUAUCUUCACCUCUAAAACUCAAGAAAACGUCAUAUUUCUUUUUAGAAAUGGAGGAAGAAGUUGACGGUAACGACAACAUGAGGAUGUAUGAAAGGAGAUGGAUAUCUCAAUCUGGUGUUCAAAAUCAGAAAAUAGAUCGCUCAAUAUCCACAAAGAAACUAGAAAACGUAAGUAUAUGAGCAUAGGGGUCAAAGAUGAGCGAUGGAUGUUGUUUCCAAGAAGGUGAGAGUGGCAAAGUGGAGUCUACUUUAAUUAUAAGUAAUAAUUAAAAAUGUUGGACGGUUUGUAUUUUACGUAUUUAAUAAUUAGCAAUGUUAAUGGAUUGAUGUUCUCAGCCAAUCUGUAGCAGUCAGUGGCUCUAAGGCAAUCAAUGCCUGUAGGGCAGGCCAAACCCACAAAAUUUAAGAUUUUUAGAUUGAAAAGUGAAGUAUGGUGGCUCUGUUAAGGCUAUUUCACUUAAAUCGAGCACUUCUAAAAACUUCGCUUGCUGCAAAUUCUCUGGUAAAUUUUCAUCUCUAUAAUAACCAGAAAGAUUAAGAGUUUUUAAACAUUUCAUUUUCCCAUCGAUAUGUGGAAACCUUUGAAGAUUUGAGCAUCACGAAAGAAUCAAUGUUUCAAGGGUUUCACUUCAAUUCUGGUAGGAAGACUCCUAAGACUUUUGCAGUUUUUGAAAUUCAAAAGUUUAAGCCUCUUAAGCACUCCGAAUGAUGGAUGGACAGCUACAAUUUUAAAGUCUGGGGUAUUGGUCAGGUUUUGGGAACUUUUAAAGUUGAUCACUUUCUAACUUAUAUAUGGGCUGUUGAAAACAAUACUUAAAAAGCAAUAAAAAAACAUAAAAGAAAACCUCAAUUUUGUUUUUAUAUUCUUAUCAUAAUCAAAUUUCAACCAUCCAUCUUAAAAUAAGCUAAAACAAGGAUCAAUGAACUAAUUCUUACUCUAUUUCCCCUCCACUGUUGUUCAAUGCGAGUGUGUGAAAAAAGAAAUGAAAGGGUCUCAUUUCCAAUCAAAAAAUUAACUAACGUCUAUGUAUAUAAUUCAUUGCUUUUAAAGUUUUUUUGUACAGGGAUCGGUGAUCGACAUGGGAAUUUUACUUUUACAUGCAAGAAGUAGAAGAGAAGAAGAACUGGCCAAAACGCUGGAAAUACCGAAUGUAUGUAUGCGUAUAUAUAUGUUAGCUCUAAGUUUCUCUUUAUCUUCUAUGUGUGUAUAUAUUGGUGUUUAAUUUUGAUCUUAAAUUAUUUCUAUCAAGUUUAAUUUUUCUUUUCCAUGUUGUUGCAGUAAAGAAGCUGUGAUUCCUAUAUGUUGCCGACGGUGCAGGUUGGCUGUGGUAGUGCCAGUGGGAAUCCCGUGUGGGAAAUAUGCUUGCCCAUCGAGGAAGGUGCAGUACGCAGCUCAUUAACGAGAAAGAUUAAGAGCUUUUAAACAUUUCAUUUUUCCCAUCGAUAUCUGGAAACCUUUGAAGAUUUGAGCAACACAAAAGAAUCAAUGUUUCAAGGGAUUUCACUUCAAUUCUGGUUGGAAGACUCCUAAGACUUUUGCAGUCUUUGAAAUUCAAAAGUUUAAGCCUCUUAAGCACUCCAAAUGAUGGAUGGACAUCUACAAUUUUAAAGUCUGGGGUAUUGAUCAGGUUUUGGGACCCUUUAAAGUUGAUCACUUUCAACUAAUAUAUGGUGUCGAAACUAAUUUUUUGAAAAAUAAAAAUUUUUAGGUUGUCGAUUUUAAAAAAUAAAAAUUGGGAGUCGCCACCAAUCUUUUAUUAAGGUGUGAUUGGGUCACCUAAAAAAUGACUUUGGUCUACAAAUUUUAGAAAAACGGGUCCGGGAGUCGGUUACGUAUGAGGAAGGAUUAGCACCCUCAUUACGCCCAAAAAUUGGUACCUAGUUAAAUAAUUAAUGUCUUAAUGUCGAAAAUUUGAAAAACGUAAUCCUUAGCAAAAAAAACUUAAAACGUUACGUAUUAAGACCCUUAUCAUUUCAGAGAAAGAAAAUACCACACCCAAUAAGUUAGGGCACGACAUUCUAAUUUUCCCCAAAAAUGAAUUAGGGCAAAAUACUAGUGUAAUAAAAAUUUAAAAGAAUAUUCAUUUAUUCAAGAUUUAAGAAAUCGCAGCCCAAUACGUUAGGGCACAAUUCCUUUAGAAUCCCAAACUCGGAAUAUUUCCUUUAUUAUUAUUUUUUAAAUAUUCAUUUCGAGAAAUCAAUGCGUCACAUCCAAUACGUUAGGACACAACGUGUUGAAUUCCCAAUAAUGAGUUCUUAUUUUUAUUUGAUUUAAAGAGCAAUCCUCGAUUGUUAGAUUUUCAAAAAAAUCGGAACUCAAUACGUUAGGGCUCAAUUUCCUUGAGAAAUUCUAAAUGCGAGUAUUAUCUCUAUUUUAAAAAGUUUGAAAUCGAGUAAAAAAAUGAUGUGAUGCUACAUUAAAUAUACAACGUAAUAAUAAAUAUUUCAAUAUCAUAGAAAUAAUAUGAAUAAAGGAAUAAAUACAUAAUUAUGACAUGCAUAAUAUUAAAUAAAUGGGCAAGAUAAUAAUAAACAAUAUGCAAGCAUAAAUUGAUAAGCAAAUAUUUGAAAUAAAUAACAAAAAAAUGCAUACAGGUACACAUAAAAUAUAUAGGUUUGCAAUGAUUAAAAUAACAUCAACGUUAAUUAAAUAAAUAAAACAAGUCUAUAUAUAUUUUAUAUAUAUAUAUAUACACGAGUAUGCGAACAAUAUUAGUUUUCAAAAAAAAAAGGGAUAAAUACAUGCUUUAGAAAAAAUACAUAUAUAUACAAAAUAAUAAUAAUUACAUAUGUGAAUUAUAAGGGAAAAAUUGUAUUAUCAAAAAAAUAUUGAUUUUUAAAGAAAAUAUGGAAAAGGGGACUAAAUUGGAUUACAAGUAAAAAUAUGGGGCAAAUCCACAAAUAAAUAAAAUCGGGAGGACAAAAUUAAACAUGCGAAUUAUAUAGAGGGGCUGGAAGGGCAAUUUUUCCUUCUCCUCUAAAAUGACACCGUUCAAAAGGAUUUAAUUGGAAUUUAAAAUAAAUUAAAGGCCGAAUUUUAAAAAAAAAACAAGAAUACUUAAUUGGAAAUAUAUAAAAAGGCGGAGGGGCCAAAAGCACAAUUUGCCCCUUCGUAUGAAAAACACGCGGUUCCUAGAUCUGGGUCGGGUUGACGCGCGGAUCCUCCCUUCAAAACGGCACCGUUUUCGAUUGGCUAUUUAAGCCAAAAUUAUAAACAAAAAUUUCAUUUUUUCAAAUCCUUCAAAAAAAACGAAAAUCUUUUUUUUUAAACUCUCAACUUCUGGGCACCAGCCUCCGGUUUAGUCAUCGGCCGGUCAACGGCCACCGCACCGGCCACCGAUCUCCAGCGCCGGCACCGCCUAAUGCGGUGGCCGAAAAAAGAAAAACCCCAAAUCUGGUCUUUUCAACACUCUUGAGCCUAGAUCUGGGCUGAAAAUUCCCAAAAUCGACUAAAAAAACCUAAAAAUGCCCUAGAAACCUUUCGGAUUCUAGCCGUCUAUCAUCGGAGACGGUCCUCUUCCUCCCCGCGGCGUUUCAAAAACAAAAGCAGGUGAUUUCUUUCCUUUUUAUUUUGUUUUAUUUUCAUACAAGUGAAAAUAAAAAAAUAAAAAUAAAAGUAAAAAAAAGAACUAAAAAAAUAAAUGUAAACCUUUAGACUGAUUUUUGCUCUCUUGGAUAUUGAACUAACUGUGUUUUGCUGCGAAAAUAAUUGUGUUUUUCUUAUUGAUUUCCAAUCCCUCUUUGCAGUAUCGUCAAUGGCUUUAUAUAGCCAUAAUAUAUAAAAAAAUAUAGAAAUAAAAUCUUGUUUACAUUGAUUUGAUUCUCAAUCUCUUGAUUUCUUUCCAUAUACUGUUUUGCUUUCUUUCCUUGUUGUGCAGGUGAAGAUCGGGGCUAAGAUUCGUGGCUGCAGCGCUUGAGGAUUUCCCUAGAACCCCUAGGGUUUCUGACUAUCGUUUUGGGCAUUUGGGCCACACAUAAUUGGACCACCGUGCUUUGGGCCCCUGUUGUAUUUUGGGUUUGGGCCAUAUAGGCCAGUUGUAAUUUGGGCCCUUUUAGGCCCUGGCAAAAUCUGUUAUUACAUAUGGGAUGUUGAAAACCAUACUUAAAAAGCAAUAAAAAAAACAUAAAACCAAACCUCAAUUUUGUUUUUACAUUUUUAUCAUUGUUGACACCAUUUUUUUGAUAAAACGGGGUCGAUUUGGGUUUUAAAAAAUGAAAACGAAUGUGGGAGUCGCCACCAAUAUUUUUUGAUGAGGUGUGAUCGGGCCACCUCAAAAAAUGGUUAUUUUAAUAAACGAUUUGAAAAAACAACGAUUUUGGUCCACGAUAAAAAAAAAGAAAAUGGGUUCGGGAGUCGGUUACGUACGAGGAAGGAUUAGCACCCUCGUAAAGCCCAAAAUUGGUACCUAGCUGAUUAAUUAGUGUCUUAGCGUCGAAAAUUAAAAAUUUUGAAAAGUUAAAAAAUAAUAAUAUUAUCCUUUAUCAAAAUUUUGAAAAAUUUAAAAGGAGAAGCAUAUUUUUAGGUUAAUCGAGAAGAAGAAUUACGUCUCGUAAGUUAGGACACAAUGUCUAAAAUUCCCGAUACGAGAAUGAAAGCCGAAAAAUUUAUUUAUUUUGAAAGAGUUCGAUUAUCUCUGGUUUAAAAAAGAGAUCAUGACCCUUGAGUUAGAACACGAUCUUUUAUUAAUUCCCAAGAACGUUUAAAAACUUUGUUUGAAAUGAUUCGUGUGUUUGAAUUUUUCGAGAAAAUCGAAAUCCCAUAAGUUAGGGUACGACUUUCUUGAGUUUCUAAAUACAGAAUGUUGCAUUAUUUUUAAAAUUUUACUUUUUUGAAUUUGAGUAAGAAUUAAUGUAAUAUAACGAGAUGUAAGUUUAAUUUAUGCAAAUAUCGUGUGAAGGCAAACAAUUAUUUCAUACAAUGUAUAGUACAAUAAUAAUGAAAUAACGUAAAAUAACUAUAUUAGUAGAAUAUAUAAAGGGUAAAUAAUAAAUCAUAAAAUACAAUAAUAAUCAUGACGUAAUUAUAAUAAUAAUCACCAAAUAAUAAUAACAAUGACCGUAUUAAUUACUAUUCUAAUACUAGAAAUAUAAAAAUGAAUUAAACACUAAUAAAAAUGAUAAUAAUAAUGAUAAUAAUAAUGAAAUGUAUAAAUAAAGGAAUAAAUAACAAUAUAAAUUCUAAACACAAGAAAAGUAAGGAAAUGGAUAAAUACAUGAAUGCAUAAAUAAAUAAAUAAAACAGAACGAAAAGAAUAAAUAAAUAAAUAAAGCUCGAAAAUAAAAGGAUAAAGGAUCAAAUUGAGGUUAAAAUAAACUUUGGAGUCUAAAUUAUAAUAAAAUGGAUAAAUAAAUAUAAAAGGGACUGGAUCAAAAUUUGAAUCGACUUUAAAGGUAUAAAUUACAAAUAAAAAAGGAAAGGGCCAACUGAAAUGCACUGGAAAAGGGCGAGGACUAUAUGGGAGAUUAUUCCCAGUCCUUUAGAGCGCACCGUUUCCGUCUGGACCGAAAAGAAACAAAAAUGAAAUUAUACCGCAAAAUGUAAAGAAAAAAAAUUUAGGACUAAAUUGCAAAGCCUCGCAAAAGCGGAAGGACCACAUGCGCAAAUAGUCCCUUCACUGCAAAAACACACGGAUCCUGAGGGCCAACGGGUUGGGUUACGGGUCAGGGCCAAAACAACGUUGAUUUGGCACCUGACCCCUAAUGUCAAAAUGGUGUCGUUUAAGUAUCAUUAUUUAACUUAAAUUUUUUUCUAAAAAAAUCAUUUUUACAAAGUGUUUUUUAAAAAAACUUUCAAAACUUCCUUCUCUCUCUCUCUCACAAUGUCCGGCCCUUAGCUUCUGGCCCCCGCCACGCUGCCUCCAUGGCCAGUGGCCGGAGUCGCGCGAAACGGGCUUUUCAGCCCUCACUUCACGGCGUCCCUGAAGGCUAGGCCUUCUCAACAGUGGGACCGAGAGAAAAAGAAAAAAAACCCCUCUAUCUGUUCGACUCCGGUGACGGAAAAGAUGGGCUCCGGUGCCGACUUUCGAAGCAAAUAGGUAUCUUCCCUUUUCCCUUUUUGUUUCAUUUUUGUUAAAAAGGGUCAUAAAAAUAAACAAACAUAAAAAAUAACGAAAAAAAUACAAGAACAGAAAAAAAUAGAAGCAGUUAAACUGGAGUCAACCUUUCUUAAAAGCUUUUGCUCUGUUUUUUCAGUAACCAGUCAUAAAAAGAAGAAGAAGAAGAAAAUACAGAAGUGGUGCUCGGCUUUUAUAGCCGAUUUGUUUCCAUUUUUUUCUAUUAUUUUGCUGCUUGCAUGUUUAUUUUUCUCCUGUAGGUGAUUGAUAAGUGUCGGUCGAUAUGACAGCGACGGUGACAGACGCGCAGCGGUGGUGGUUGGUAGGUCAAGGGUCAAAAGACCCUAGGUGCGGUGCACCUAGGGCUAGGGUUUUCAAACUCCCCCCUUUUUUUGCAUUGGACCAGUUGAGCUAUGUUGGAUUUGGUUGGGUUAGGGGUAUUGGGCUAAGCCUUUUGGUUUGGGCCCUAGGUUGUAAUUGGGUUUUGGGUAGAUGUAGGUAAUUGGUUUUAUUUGGGUACUGGGUUGGGCAAAAUGGGCUGUACAGCUGCCCCUCUUUGCUCGUUGUCGUGUAACGAGAACAGAGCAAAGACUAAGAAAGACCAAUUUUGCCCGGUCUCACCAAGUCCCAACUUAUUUUGACACUUCUCUUCUUCAAGUAGCCUUAUUCCAGUCCACUGUGUCCUAUCGCUUCAAUCUACUCCACUGCACUUCUUGUAGCUUCAAUCUUCUUCGCAGCAACUUCAGGAGGACGAGGUUUUGGUUUUAGUCUGCUCCACUACUCCACUGCGACCUCAGGGAGAUAAGGUUUGAUAUGAUAAAAUUUAAUCCUACCCUCUGCAACUUCAAAGGUAUAAGAUUCAUCGUUUUAAUCUGCUCCACUGCAACUUCAGGGAGAUAGGAUUAGUAGCUUCAGUCUGUUCCACUACAACUUCAGGGAACUAAGACUUGUAUUUUCAACCUGCCCCAGAGCAAUUUUAGGGGGGAAGGUUUGUGGCUUUAAUCUGUUCUACUACAACUUCAGGGAGAUAAGAUUUGUAGCCGGUCUUCAAUUUGUUCCACUGUAACUUCAGGGAGAUAAGGUUUGAUAUGAUCUGCUCUACUGCAACUUCAGAGAGAUAGGAUUUAUAACUUAUAGCUUUAAUCUGUUCCACCGCAACUUUAGGGAAAUAAGAUUCGCUAUCUUCAGUCUGCUCCAUUGCAACUUCAGGGAGAUGAGAUUUGUAGUUUCACUGAUCUGUUCUCUGGGGAAGCAUAACCUAUGAACUUUUGUUUAUGCCUAAAUGAUUAGGAUGUCAUGAUCAAAAUGAAUCAAAUGCUCCUAAUUAGAUGCAUUUAAAUCAGAUGCAUUCUGACACACAUGAUGAGUCGCCCUUAAAUCUGGAUACUAUGAUGAGGUUCCUAUUGGCACAGAAACAUAAGAGUUAGUAUAUAUUAUCAAAGUUGGAAUCAUAUUGUAUGGCAUCCGAAAAAUCAGAAGCAUGAAAAUCAAGAAUUCGGGGUAGCCCAACACACUAAGAGAAAUCAAAAUAAAAAUACAUACUCGUGGUUUUGUUCACUACGGAACAGGAGCAUUAUUUCGCAUAGAGCCUUCAACACCAACAAAAUUAGCAUUAGGCCCAAGUUUUUGACUAGCAUCAACCUGUCCACUAUUCGGCCCAGUAAUCUGCCUACUAAAAGGCCCAACAGAUUGGCCUACAUGUAGCCCAAAUUGCUACACAUCAUGCUCCCGCUAAUAGGACUAAACACUGACUAUCAGUUACCCAAAAUAAUGCCCAGUAUUUUGCCCAAAAACCUGACUAGUCUUCUACCCAUGAACCGACCUAAAAACCUGACCAGCAUUUGGUCCAAGACACUGCCCACGAAUCUGGCCUGCAUAAUGGGGCCUGUGUGCAAUGGAAGAAGGUAGCCCAAUGUGCUGUAUAGAACACUAGCCUACAGCAUGCCCAACACGCCUUUCAAAGAAAUCAAACGGGCCAACAGAUCCAAACCACUGACCAUUUGUGUCUCUUGCAAACUCAACCUUAUAGCCAGUUUCACCAAAAUCCAUAGCUUGCAGUUGCGGUGGAUAUUCACUCCGACUCUGAGAAGACGACCAGUCUCCCAAAAGGUCACCAGAUCCAAAACCUUGUUGUCUAUUAUGCGCAGACGGUGAAAACCUCACCGUGGUAGAAGCACUCAGACCAUCGUAAGACCAAUUAAAGCGAUAGAAGCAUCACUGCACCGUGUGACCGAACCUAUUACAAAUUUGGCACUGCAUGCGCGAACGGAAGCCACACCCUUGCAAACCUACUGUCGCACGACCUCCACUCACAUCACGUAAAACAGAAUCGACGAUUGCAGCAACAUCAGGCGAUUCAACAAGAUGAGCAUGGAUGGGAACCUCACGCGCCACUCGCACCUGUCUACUUUCAAAUUCCAUGAGAACCUCGACCAAACGCAGACAGGGAAAAGGCUACGUCGAGAACAAAGCCAAGGUCAGUAUGAUAUCAAAAUUCGAUGAGAGCCCAGCCAAAAUGACUUCCACCUUUUUAGCUUCUGACACCACCGAUCCAGAGGCUGCAAGUAAGGCACAGGUAUUUUCUAUCUUCGCAAUAUAUUCUGUGACAGUUUACUCACUCUUCUGUGUAGAAUGAAGAUCAUGCUUGAUGCGAGAAAUUUUCACACUAGUUAACGCAGCGAAAAGACGAUUUGCGGUGCUCUAGAUGUCACACGCAGAUUGAGCAGAGGUAAAACAUGGCAAAAGUGACGAGCUAAUCGUACUUAGGAGCCAAGAAGCUAACAGCUUAUCUUGUUGAUUGAACAUAGCCGCUUCUGGAUUCGGAAUAAGAGCACCUUCUGGAGACGCAAUAAACCGAGACGGAACAGACAGCGUACCUUCCAAGAAACCUUGCAGCUCAUAUCCCUCUAUUAUUAAUCGGAAAUGUUGCUGCCAUUGAACAAAGUUUUCUCCCUCUAGUUUCACCGUGUCAUGACGGGGGAAAGAUUGGACCAGGCGUUGACUAGAAAAUGCCGGACUCAUAGGAUCAGCAAAAUUAGAAUCGGCUGAUGGUGCCAUAACACAACAACGGAAGCACGUACUAGGACUAGGCGACUGAUACCAUGUAAGAUACUACUCGAAAUAUGUAUAAACAGAAAAAUGAAGUAUAGAAGAAUUCUUUAGUCUUAUGCUAUCUAGUUGAAUGAAUACACUGAUGAGGUUUUAUACAAAUAUGAUAACCAACUGCCUAAUGAACUGCUUAACAAAUUUUGUAACAACCUAUCAAACUAACCAUCGUAACAACUGUUUAACACUCACGCACAAAAGAUUUUCUAAUUGAAUAUUAGUGCAUACUUUAUAUUCAUAUUUGAAUAAAUAUUAAAAAUAAAUGUCUAAACAUAAAUAUUUUAUAAAAAAAAUAAACUGAGGAGUUGGAAUAAUAUUAUUUGUAUUUCAAGUAGUGAAAUUUAAAUGAUACUUUAUUAGAAGGGAUUAAAUCUAUUUAAGUAGCUUUAAAGAUUUAUAUUUAAUCUUUCAAAUAUAUAAAAACAGUUUUGACUAAUUAAAUUGAACACAUAAAUUGGUCUCCAAUAAAAAUAAAAUGAUUUUUAACUCAGUUGAAAUUAUGAUCAAUCCUUAUUAAAGGACUCUCAUUUUAUCAUUACUUGCUUCGCCUCCAUUUUUGUCUCACAAUUUUGUUUUAAUUUGCUUCAUCUUCAACCUACAAAUAAAAUAUAGAUGUAAGUGAAAAUAUAUAGUGGAAAUAAAAUUUUAAUAAAAAAAAAGGUGAAACCAAUCAAAAUAUACACAUUCGAUAAGUGACUAAAAUUUUAAAUGGUAUAAAAAACAAUGUUAUCAACAUUUGAGAUAUGUAGAUGUUGAAUAUGAAUAUGAAUAAAAUUUUUUAAAAUGUUUUGGCAUAUAAUGGAAGGAUCAUAUCUCAUAUGCAAAACAAGUCUAGAAUAAUUGUUUAAAUGGAAUACAAGAUGUGUAAAAAUACAAUUAAUAGGACGAAGUUUGUUAAGUAGUUUACCACAGUUAAUGCUUCUUUCUUGAUUGGCCCUUUACAAAAUUGAAAAAUUUUUGCAUCCGUUUUGGUUGCGGCUCUUCUUCCUCUGUUUCCUCAUAGAUAUUACGUUUUCGUUUUAUGUGAGAAGUGCUACCUACUGAUCCAUGGUUGUGAGCAGAGUGUUGGUGGAUGUGUUCAAAAUUUGGAGAAGAUUGGCUGGUAUCGCACUACAACUCUUUCAUUUCUUCCAAAUCUUUCUCAUACACUAUUCUAACACCACACUUCUUCACCUUAACACAACGGUCAUUUGGUCCAAAUUCGGUAUUGAAACACAACUCAAGCUCAUCGCCUAUUUCAGCUAGCAAUCUGCUGUCCAUAAAUUAUUGGUUUCACAGUCACCAUAUUUAUCCUCCAAGGAAAUUGGAUAUGAUUCAUCACGCGGAAAAUAACGAAGAAAAAGGUGAUCUUUCAUUAUGGGCCUGUCAAAGUAUCGACCUACCCACUGGUUUCUCCAAUAAAUUGGUCGACAAUUUCUACCUCGAAAAAUAGAUCCUUUACAUCCGAUAUACCUAUCCCUUGAAGCAUCAUUAUUGACAAAAAUGCAGCAACAAGCAACUCCAAUCCAUUGACUAUCUUUCCGAAGGUUGAUAGGUAGGGGUAUCUUAAUUGAAGAGUCACGUUUUUGUUGGCUAAACCAUUCUGGAAUUUCACUUCCUGGCAUCAAAAUAUCAAAGAUGCCAUCAUUAAACCAUUUUCUAGAAUUUGGAAAUGCCUGCAAAAUAAAACACAAGUCGUUUGGUAACUAAAACCAUAAAUUCUCAAGUAUGAGAUUUUGUAAGGGAGAAAAAAUACAUUAAUAAACCUUAAUAUGUGCUUUCAGCAGUGCUACUGCAUUGAUUUUCUCAGCCAAUUUGAAGCAGUUAAUGGCAUCAAUGCUUUCACUUCCCACUAAAUUGCAUACUUUUGAUGGACUUGCAACUACUUCAAGUGAAGAACAAUCAUCUAUUGUCACACUUCCUAUAGUUGUUGGUAGCUCAGGCAACGAUUUAAGCAUCUUGCAACCUGACAAUUGAAGCAAGUUGAGCCCGGAAAGUUGAGUAAGAGCCAAAGGAAUGCUGGUGAAAUUGUUACCAAUAAGAUUAAGAUAACUCAAAGAGGAUAGACCAGAAAUAUCACUAUGAGUAUCUGCUUCACCAAGAGUGCACAUGUUGCAAUUAGACAAUUCAAGAUACGUAAGCUUUGAGAGUCGAGUAAGAGAUGCAGGUAUGCGGAUGAAAUUCUUACCACUAAGAUUAAGAUAACUCAAAGAGGAUAGACCAGAAAUAUCACUAUGAGUAUCUGCUUCACCAAAAGUGCACAUGUUGCAAUUUGACAUUAAUAUAAGAUUUGCAAGCUUCGAGAGUCGAGUAAGAGAUGCAGGUAUGCUGAUGAAAUUAUUACCACUAAGAUCAAGAGAUACCAAAGAGGAUAGACCAGAAAUAUCAGGUGGAAUAUCUCCUUCACAGAGAUUGCAGUCCCUUAGAUUCAACUCUCUUAAUGAACUCAAACCUGACAACAAAGGCAACAUCCGAGCCAUGGGAUUCGUCCUUCUUCCUUGGAUUACCUUGAAAAGAGAAGGCAAAUUUGGUAGUAACUUAUAUGAUGGUCCCUUGCGCCCAUUGAAAGACAGAACUUUCAGAUUUUUAAAGUGAAAAAUGAAGGAUGGUGGUUCUGUUAUGGCUGUUUCACUCAAGUCGAGCUCUUCCAAAAACUUUGCUUGCUGCAAAUUCUCCGAUAAAUUUUCCACUCUAUAACAACCGGAAAGAUAUAGAGUUUUUAGACGUUCCAUUUUCCCAUCAAUCUCCGGAAACCUUACAAGACUUGAGCAGCCCGAAAGAAUUAAUGUUUCAAGAGAUUCCAUUCCAAUUUUGGUUGGAAGAGUCCUAAGACUUUUGCAAUCUCUUAAAUUAAAAAGUUUAAGGCUCUUAAGCACCCCGAUUGAUGGAUGAACAUCCACUAAUUUGGUACAACCUUCCAAAAUCAAAACUUCAAGAUUUGAUGCUGUUGUGAAGUCUGGUGUCUUGAUCAGGUUUUGAGACCCUCUGAGGUUCAUUAUUUUCAAGUUAAACAAGGGCUGUUGAAGACCAUAAUCAAUUAGAAACACAUGAGAAAACAUAAUAAUGCUCAUUUUUGUUUUUUUUGUUUUACCUUAAUCAAAGUUUAAUAAUUUAUAUUAAAAUAAGCUAAAACACAAGGAUAAGAUGAGUUAAUUCUUACUCUAUUUCCCUUCCAUAGUUGUUGAAUGUGACUAUAUGGUAAAAGAAGUGCGACAAGAUUGUCCGGUUGAAAGCUUGAAGGUAAGUUUUUUAGAGGGUAUCCUGUCCAAUCUAAAAGCCGUAGUUCAUUAGAAAGAUAUUUGAGAUCAUCACAAUUUGAAAGGCAAAGCACUUUCAGUAGUCUCAGUUUUUUCAUCUUCAAGAAGGCAUCCACACUCAAAUUGAGCAUCUUUUUCAAUUCCCUAAUAUCCAUGAGCGAAACAAAAAUGAGCUUCAAAAUAUAUAAAAACAUUCAAUAUCUAAAAGAAAUGUUGCAUCAAUAUUGUUUUUUAAGUACUCGUAUCCAAUACUUGUUCGUAUAUGAGUAUAAAGAUAUGAUCCUUUAAGAACCUUUCAAAUACGUGAAAAAAAUAAAUUUUAAUUUUUUUUUUGAAUAUAGCCAUAUUAAAGAGAUACUUAUAUCUAACAAUCGCAUCCGAUGUUAAAUUACCUAAUCAUAAAAAAAUGAAUUAAUAUGUUGAUUUAUAUUUAGUCCGCAAACAAUGCAUAAUUUACAAGUUAAUGAACCAAACAAUGACACAUAAUUAAAAAUGAAACCAUUUUCAUUAAAAAAAAAUUAUUACAUGUUAUAAUCUAAUUCGUUGAUAUACACUUUUAGUACAUUAAAUAUAUACCAUUAAUUUUCACAAAAAAAUAUACCAUUAAUAUUUCAAAAAUACAUACAUUUCUCUUUUGAUUCUUUUGAAAAAGUAAAUAUGUUGCUAGAUAAAUUUCAUAAUUAAACAUUGAAAUAUUGAAUGUCAAAAGUUUUGCUAUAGUUUUUUUAUCAUAUUUAAAAAUAAUAAUUAUUUACAGUACACAUAGAUAUAAGUUUAUGUGUGUCUUCCUACCUUUUAUUAUCGAUGAUUAUGCCUUCAAUCGUUUCUGUAGCCUAAAAAAGAUUAAGAACAGACAAUAAGAAAAUAAAAUAAAUGGUGAAUAAUGUAGGAUAGAAAAGAAAUAGUAUGUGACUUUUGUUGAAUGACUUACAGUGUUUUUUGUUAGGACAUGAUGGACGUCCCCUCCCUCCCACAAUCUGCAACGUUUUCCAGGUUCAUCAACACAUUUUUCUUUAACAAUUGUUCUUCCCAUUUCUUGCAACAAGCUAUGCAUCCACAAAUAUUGGUUGCCAUCAUCGACUUUUAUUAAAGAUUUCUUAAUGAGAACAUCAAUUCCAAUAUCGGGGAAAAGCUCACAACUAUCUAAUACUUUCAUUACAAAAUCUUUCUUCUCCCCAUUAAAGAAGCACGCUAUAUCUAAAAAUAUAUUCUUCUCCCUUUCUUCCAGUCCAUCAAAACUGAUUCGAAGUUUAUCGAGAAUUUCUUUAUUAGAAUCUCUUUUAAGUCUUUCAAUCGCACUCCUCCAUUGAGUCGCAUCCCUACCGCACAAAAAGGAACCAAAAACUUCAAGAGCUAAAGGGAGUUCACCAGCAUAAUUUACAACAUGUUUAGAAAGCUCAAUGAAAUCAUCUUUCUGCACUGUAUCACUAUGAAAAGCUUUCAGACUGAAAAGUUGAAGCGCAUCUUUGGGAUUCAGUGUUGUGGCCGUAUACACAUCAUUAACUUGGCAACAUCGAAGCAAAUGUUCGUCUCUUGUUGUUACAAUGAUUCUACUCCCUAAUCCGAACCAAUCAUGCCUUCCAACCAUGCAUUUUAGGUGUUGUAUGUUAUCAACAUUAUCAAGAACAACAAGAACCUUUUUGUGAGACAACCUAUGGCUAAUUAUUUUAUUUCCUUCAUGAACAUUGAAAAAGUUGAAGCAUUCACCAUGAAAGAUUUGUGAAAGAAGUUGUUUCUGUAAAGAAACUAGUCCGCAUUUGUCUGAAACUUCUCGAAUAUCAGCAAUAAAGCUUUUACCUUCAAAAUGAGGUGACAUUUGAGUGUAAGCAACUCUUGCGAGUGUCGUUUUACCGAUGCCACCCAUUCCGCAAAUUCCUAUAACGCGGACAUCAUCUUCCCCAAUGUUUAUUUUCAAAUACAAAUCCUCCAAGCGUUCACUAAUACCAACCAAGUCGCUAUGAGUAAUUGGAUAUGUCUGACAUAGUUUUGCCGAUAUCUUCUUAACAAUGUCUCUAAUAAAUUCUGAUUCAUGCCUAAAAAAAAAAAAAGAAAAUUUAAUGUUUUGAGUAAAAUUUUGUUGAUAUGUUUCGAAUGCACUUUCUUUUUCAAUGAAUCAUGAAACAUAAUAUAGUUUGGAAGCAAACAAGUACCAAGAAAAAGAAAGCAAGAUCAGUUGCGGAGCCAGAAGACAAAAUUUGCUCUUUUAUUGAAAUAUGACACUUUUCAAUUAAACACAUUGGAUUAGGGGAAAAAAAAAGUUAUACAUACAUACAUAUAUAUAUAUAUCCAAAAAACUAGAAAAUAGAGAAGAAAAGAAAGAAUUACCUGUUAUUUAAAUGCCAUCCCUUGACUGCAGCCACUUGAAUUAAAGCAUUUCGCCACCUUUGGAUCUUCUCACUUUCUUCUUUGUAUCUCUCUUCAUGUCUGGCAAAGGCUUCUUCCACUUUCCCUUUUUGUUUUCUUAAAUCAGAUGGAUCAACAUCGUAAAAAAUUGGAAACAUUUUAUGGCCGUCGUUGUUAUGUUGUUUAACAAUCUCAGCAAGCUCCUCCAAGCACCAACUUGAAAAGGCAUAAGUUUGUGAAAAAACGAUUACCGAGCACCAUGAUUGCUGAAUUGCUUUAAAGAGUUCUGGCGCGAUCUCUUCACCGGCCUCCAGCUUUGGAUCAUCCCUGAAAGUGACGAUCCCACUCCUCUUUAGAGCAGCAUAGAGAUGAUCGGUGAAGUUUUUGCGAGUAUCUUCACCUCUAAAACUCAAGAAAACAUCAUAUAUCUUUUUAGAAAUGGAGGAAGAAGUUGAAGGGAACGACAACAUGAGGAUGUAUGAAAGGAGAAGGAUAUCUCAAUCUGGUGUUCAAAAUCAGAAAAUAGAUUGCCCAAUAUCCACAAAGAAACUAGAAAAAGUAAGUAUAUGAGCAUAGGGGUCAAAGAUGAGCGAUGGAUGUUGUUUCCAAGAAGGUGAUAGUUGGCAAAGUGGAGUCUACUUUAAUUACAAGUAAUAAUUAAAAAUGUUGGACGGUUUGUAUUUUACGUAUUUAAUAAUUAGCAAUGUUAAUGGAUUGAUGUUCUCAGCCAAUCUGUAGCAGUCAGUGGCUCUAAGGCAAUCAAUGCCGGUUGGGCAGGCCAAACACGCUAAAUUUAAGAUUUUUAGAUUGAAAAGUGAAGUAUGGUGGCUCUGUUAUGGCUGUUUCACUUAAAUCGAGUUCUUCUAAAAACUUCGCUUGCUGCAAAUUCUCUGGUAAAUUUUCAACUCUAUAAUAACCAGAAAGAUUAAGAGUUUUUAAACAUUUUAUUUUUCCCAUCGAUAUCUGGAAACCUUUGAAGAUUUGAGCAACACGAAAGAAUCAAUGUCUCAAGGGAUUUCACUUCAAUUCUGGUUGGAAGACUCCCAAGACUUUUGCGGUCUUUGAAAUUCAAAAGUUUAAGCCUCUUAAGCACUCCAAAUGAUGGAUGGACAUCUACAAUUUUAAAGUCUAGGGUAUUGAUCAGGUUUUGGGACCCUUUAAAGUUGAUCACUUUCAACUAAUAUAUGGGCUGUUGAAAACCAUACUUAAAAAGCAAUAAAAAAACAUAAAACCAAACCUCAAUUUUGUUUUUAUAUUCUUAUCAUUGUUGACACCAUUUUUUUUUUGAUAAAAUGGGGUCGAUUCGGGUUUUAAAAAAUGAAAACGAAUGUGGGAGUCACCACUAAUCUUUUUUGAUGAGGUGUGAUCGGGCCACCUCGAAAAAUAGUUAUUUUAAUAAACGAUUUGAAAAAAUAAUGAUUUUGGUCCACGAUAAAAAAAAGAAAAUGGAUUCGGGAAUCGGUUACGUACGAUGAGGGAUUAGCACAUUCGUAACGCCCAAAAUUGGUAUUUAGCUGAUUAAUUAGUGUCUUAACGUUGAAAAUUGAAAAUUUUGAAGAGUUAAAAAAAAAAAGAAAAAUAAUACGAUCCUUUAUCAAAAUUUUGAAAAAUUUAAAAGGAGAAGCAUAUUUCCAAGUUAAUCGAGACGAAGAAUUACGUCCAGUAAGUUAGGACACAAUGUCUAAAAUUCCCGAUACGAGAAUGAAAGCCGAAAAAUUUAUUUAUUUUGAAAGAGUUCGAUUAUCUCGGGUUUAAAAAAGAGAUCAUGUCCCGUGAUUUAGAACACGAUCUUUUAUUAAUUCCUGAGAACAUUUAAAAACUUUGUUUGAAAUGAUUCGUGUGUUUGAAUUUUUCGAGAAAGUCGAAACCCCGUAAGUUAAGGUACGACUUUCUUGAGUUUCUAAAUACAGAAUGUUGUCUUAUUUUGAAAAUUUUCCUUUUUUGAAUUUAAGUAAGAAUUAAUGUAGUAUAACAAGAUGUAAGUUUAAUUUAUGCAAAUAUUGUGUGAAGGCAAACAAUUAUUUCAUACAAUGUAUAGUACAAUAAUAAUGAAAUAACAUAAAAUAACUAUAUUAGUAGAAUAUUUAAAGGGUAAAUAAUAAAUCAUAAAAUACAAUAAUAAUCAUGACGUAAUUAUAAUAAUAAUCCCCAAAUAAUAAUAACAAUGACCAUAUUAAUUACUAUUCUAAUACUAGAAAUAUAAAAAUGAAUUAAACACUAAUAAAAAUGAUAAUAAUAAUAAUAAUGAUAAUAAUAAUGAAAUGUAUAAAUAAAGGAAUAAAUAACAAUAUAAAUUCUAAACACAAGAAAAGUAAGGAAAUGGACAAAUACAUGAAUGCAUAAAUAAAUAAAUAAAACAGAACGAAAAGAAUAAAUAAAUAAAUAAAGCUCGAAAUUAAAAGGAUAAAGGAUCAAAUUGAGGUUAAAAUAAAAUUUGGAGUCUAAAUUAUAAUAAAAUGGAUAAAUAAAUAUAAAAGGGACUGGAUCGAAAUUUGAAUCAACUUUAAAGGUAUAAAUUACAAAUAAAAAACGAAAGGGCCAACUGAAAUGCGCUGGAAAAGGGCGAGGACUAUGUGGGAGAUUAUUCCCAGUCCUUUAGAGUGCACCGUUUCCGUUUGGACCGAAAAGAAACAAAAAUGAAAUUAUACCGCAAAAUGUAAAGAAAAAAAAUUUAGGACUAAAUUGCAAAGCCACACAAAAGUAGAAGGACCACAUGCGCAAAUAGCCCCUUCACAGUAGAAACACGCAGAUCCUAAGGGCCAACAGGUCGGGUCACGUGUCAAGGCCAAAACGACGUCGUUUUGGCACUUAACCCCUAAUGUCAAAACGACGCUGUAUAAGUAUCAUUAUUUAACUUAAUUUUUUUUCUAAAAAAAUCAUUUUUACAAAGUUUUUUAAAAAAAAAAUUCAAAACUUCCUUCUCUCUCUCUCUCACAAUGUUCGGCCCUUAGGUUCUAGCCUCUGCCGCGCUGUCUCCAUGGCCAGUGGUCGGAGUCGCGCGAAACGAGCUUUUCAGCCCUUACUUCACGGCGUCCUUGAAGGCUAGGCCUUCUCAACAGUGGGACCGAGAGAAAAAGAAAAAAAAACCCUUUCCCUGUUCGACUCCGGUGACGGUGAAGAUGGGCUCCGGCACCGGCUUUCGAAGCAAACAGGUAUCUUCCCUUUUCCCAUUUUGUUUCGUUUUUGUUAAAAAGGGUCGUAAAAAUAAACAAACAUAAAAAAUAAUAAAAAAUAAAGAAAAAAUACAAGAACAGAAAAAAAUAGAAGCAGUUAAACUGGAGUCAACCUUUUUUAAAAGCUUUUGCUCUGCUUUUUCAUUAACCAGUCGUAAAAAAAAUGUAUAUAUAUAGAAGUGGUGCUCGAAUUUUAUGGCCGAUUUGUUUCCAUUUUUUCUAUUAUUUUGCUACUUGUGUGUUUAUUUUUCUCCUGUAGGUGAUUGAUAGGCGCCGGUCCACAUGAUAGCGGCGGUGACAGACGCGCGGCGGUGGCGGUUGGUAGGUCAAGGGUUAGAAGACCCUAGGUACGGCGCACCUAGGGUUAGGGUUUUUAGACUCCCCCCUUUUUUUUUGCAUUGGGUCAUUUGGGUUGUGUUGGAUUUGGUUGGGUUAGGGGUAUUGGGCUGAGUCUUUUGGUUUGGGCCCCAGGUUGUAAUUGGGUUUUGGGUAGAUGUGGGUAAUUUGGUUUAUUUGGGUACUGGGCCAGGCAAAAUAGGCUGUACAGCUACCCCUCUUUGCUCGUUGUCGUGUAACGAGAAUAGAGCAAAGACUAAGGAAGACCAAUUUUGCCUGGUCUCACCAAGUCCCGACUUCUUUUGACACUUCUCUUCUUCAAGUAGCCUUAUUCCAGUCCACUGUGUCCUAUCGCUUCAAUCCACUCCACUGCACUUCUUGUAGCUUCAAUCUUCUUCGCAGCAACUUUAAGAGGAUGAGGUUUUGGCUUUAGUCUGCUCCACUACUCCACUGUGACCUCAGGGAGAUAAGGUUUGAUAUGAUAAAAUUUAAUCCGACCCUCUACAACUUCAAAGGUAUAGGAUUCAUCGUUUUAAUCCGCUCCACUGCAACUUCGGGGAGAUAGGAUUAGUAGCUUCAGUCUGCUCCACUGCAACUUUAGGGAAGUAAGGCUUGUAUUUUCAACCUGCCCCACGGCAAUUUCAGGGGGGAAUGUUUGUGGCUUUAAUCUGCUCUACUGCAACUUCAGGGAGAUAAGGUUUGAUAUGAUCUGCUCUACUGCAACUUCAGAGAGAUAGGAUCUGUAACUUAUAGCUUCAAUCUGUUCCACCGCAACUUCAGGGAAAUAAGAUUCACUAUCUUCAGUCUGCUCCACUACAACUUCAGGGAGAUGAGAUUUGUAGUUUCACUGAUCUAUUCUCUAGGGACGCAUAACCUAUGAACUCUUGUUUAUGCCUAAAUGAUUAGGAUGUCAUUAUCAAAAUGAAUCAAAUGCUCCUAAUUAGAUGCAUUUAAAUCAGAUGCAUUCUGACACACAUGAUGAGUUGCCCUUGAAUCUGGAUACUAUGAUAAGGUUCCUAUUGGCCAGGAACACACGAGUUAGUAUAUAUUAUCAAAGUUGGAAUCAUAUUGUGUGGCAUCCGAAAAAUCAGAAGCAUGAAAAUCAAGAAUUCGGGGUAGCCCAACACUCUAAGAGAAAUCAAAAUAAAAAACACGUACUCGUGUUUUGUUCGCUACGGAACAGGAGCAUUAUUUUGCAUAGAGCCUUCAACACCAACAAAAUUAGCAUUAGGCCCAAGUUUUUGAAUAGCAUCAACCUGUCCACUAUUCAGCCCAUUAAUCUGCCUACUAAGAGGCCCAACAGACUGGCCUGCAUGCAGCCCAAAUUGCUGCACAUCAUGCUUCCGCUAAUAGGACUAAAACACUGACUAUUAGUUGACCCAAAAUAAUGCCCAGUAUUCUGCCCAAAAACCUGACUAGUCUUCUACCCAUGAACCGACCUAAAAACCUGACCAGCAUUUGGUCCAAGACACUGCCCACGAAUCUAGCCUGCAUAAUGGGGCCUGUGUGCAACCGAGGAAGGCAGCCCAAUGUGUUGUACAGAGCACUGGCCCACAGCAUGCCCAACACGCCUUUCAAAGAAAUCAAACGGGCCAACAGAUCCAAACCACUGUCCAUUUGUGUCUUCUGCAAACUCAACCAAUAGCCAGUUUCACCAAAAUUCGUAGCUUGCAGUUGUGGUGGAUAUUCACUCCGACUCUGAAAAGACGACCAGUCUGCCAAAAGGUCACCAGAUCCAAAACCUUGUUGUCUAUUAUGCGCAGACGGUGAAAACCUCACCGUGGUAAAAGCGUUCAGACUAUCGUAAGACCAAUUAAAGCGAUAGAAGCAUCGCUGCACCAUGUGAUCGAACCUAUUACAGAUUUGGCACUGCACGAGCGAACAGAAGCCAUGCCCUUGCAAACCUACUGUCGCACGGCCUCCACGCACAUCACGUGAAACAGAAUCAACGAUCGCAGCAACAUUAGGUGUUUCAACAGGAUGAGCAUGGAUGGGAACCUCACGCGCCACUUGCACCUGUCUACUUUCAAAUUCCAUGAGAACCUCGACCAAACGCAGAAAGGGAAGAGGCUCCGUCGAGAACAAAGCCAAGGUUAGUACGAUAUCAAAAUCCGAUGAGAGCCCAGCCAAAAUGACUUCCACCAUUUUAGCUUCUGACACCACCGAUCCAGAGGCUGUAAGUAAGGCACAAGUAUUUUCUAUCUCCGCAAUAUAUUCUGUGACAGUUAACUCACCCUUCUUUGUAGAAUGAAGAUCAUGCUUGAUGCGAGAAAUUUUCACACUAGUUGACGCAGCAAAAAGACGAUUUGCGGUGCUCUAGAUGUCACACGCAGAUUGAGUAGAGGUAAAACAUGACAAAAGUGACGAACUAAUCGUACUUAGGAGCCAAGAAGCUAAUAGCUUAUCCUGUUGAUUGAACGUAGCCACUUCUGGAUUCGGAAUAAGAGCACCUUCUGGAGACGCAAUAAAUCGAGACGGAGCAGACAGCGUACCUUCCAAGAAACCUUGCAGCUCAUAUCCCUCUAUUAUCAAUCGGAUAUGUUGCUGCCAUUGAACAAAGUUUUCUCCCUCUAGUUUCACCGUGUCAUGACGGGGGAAAGAUUGGACCAGGCGUUGACCAGAAAACGUCGGACUCAUAGGAUCAGCAAAGUUACAAUCGACUGAUGGUGCCAUAACACAACAACGGAAGCACGUACCAGGACUAGGCGACUGAUACCAUAUAAGAUACUACUCGAAAUAUGUAUAAACAGAAAAAUGAAGUAUAGAAGAAUUCUUUAGUCUUAUGCUAUCUUGUUGAAUGAAUACACUGAUGAGGUUUUAUACAAAUAUGAUAACCAACUGCCUAAUGAACUGCUUAACAGAUUUUGUAACAACCUAUCAAACUAACCAUCGUAACAACUGUUUAACACUCACGCACAAAAGAUUUUCUAAUUGAAUAUUAGUGCAUACUUUAUAUUCAUAUUUGAAUAAAUAUUAAAAAUAAAUGUCUAAAGAUAAAUAUUUUAUAAAAAAAAUAUAAACUGAGGAGUUGGAAUAAUAUUAUUUGUAUUUCAAGUCGUGAAAUAUAAAUGAUACUUUAUUAGAAUGGAUUAAAUCUAUUUAAGUAGCUUUAAAGAUUUAUAUUUAAUCUUUCGAAUUUAUAAAAAAACAGUUUUGACUGAUUAAAUUGAACACUUAAAUUGGUCUCCAAUAAAAAUAAAAUGAUUUUUAACUCAGUUGAAAUUAUGGUCAAUCCUUAUUAAAGGACUCUCAUUUUAUCAUUACUUGCUUCGUCUUUAUUUUUGUCUCACAAUUUUGUUUUAAUUUGCUUCAUCUUCAACUUACAAAUAAAAUAUAGAUGUAAGUGAAUAUAUAUAGUGGAAAUAAAAUUUUAAUAAAAAAAGGUGAAACUAAUCAAAAUAUACACAUUCGAUAAGUGACUAAAACUUUAAAUGGUAUAAAAAAUAAUGUUAUCAACAUUUGAGAUAUGUAGAUGUUGAAUAUGAAUAUGAAUAAAAUUUUUUAAAAUGUUUUGGCAUAUAAUGGAAGGAUCAUAUCUCAUAUGCAAAACAAGUCUAGAAUAAUUGUUUAAAUGGAAUACAAGAUGUGUAAAAAUACAAUUAAUAGGACGAAGUUGGUUAAGUAGUUUACCACAGUUAAUGCUUCUUUCUUGAUUGGCCCUUUACAAAAUUGAAAAAAUUUUGCAUCCGCUUUGGUUGCGGCUCUUCUUCCUCUGUUUCCUCAUAGAUAUUACGUUUCCGUUUUAUGUGAGAAGUGCUACCUACUGAUCCAUGGUUGUGAGCAGAGUGUUGGUGGAUGUGUUCAAAUUUUGGAGAAGAUUGAGAGGUAUGACACUGCAACUCUUUCAUUUCUUCCAAAUCUUUCUCAUACACUAUUCUAACGCCACACUUCUUCACCUUAACACAACCAGAAUUUGGUCCAAAUUUGGUAUUGAAACACAACUCAAGCUCAUCGCAUAUUUGAUAUAAGCAGUCUGUUGUGCAUAAAUUAUUGGUUUCACAGUCACCAUAUUUAUCCUCCAAGGAAAUUGGAUAUAAUUCAUCACGCGGAAAAUAACGAAGAAAAAGGUGAUCUUUCAUUAUGGGAUUGUGAAAGGAUAGACCUAUCCACCGAUUUCUCAAACAAAUUAGUCGACAGUUUUUACCUCGAAAAAUAGAUCCUUUACAGCUGAUAAACUCAUUAUUCCAUGAAGCAUCAUUAUUGACAAAAAUGCAGCAACAAGCAACUUCAAUCUAUUGACUAUCUUUCCGAAGGUUGAUAGGUAGGGGUAUCUUAAUUGAAGAGUCACUUUUUUGUUGGCUAAACCAUUCUAGAAUUUC